rnacentral:rRNA from 1 species
AUUGAACGCUGGCGGCAGGCCUAACACAUGCAAGUCGAGCGGAUGAAGGGAGCUUGCUCCUGGAUUCAGCGGCGGACGGGUGAGUAAUGCCUAGGAAUCUGCCUGGUAGUGGGGGAUAACGUCCGGAAACGGGCGCUAAUACCGCAUACGUCCUGAGGGAGAAAGUGGGGGAUCUUCGGACCUCACGCUAUCAGAUGAGCCUAGGUCGGAUUAGCUAGUUGGUGGGGUAAGGCCUACCAAGGCGACGAUCCGUAACUGGUCUGAGAGGAUGAUCAGUCACACUGGAACUGAGACACGGUCCAGACUCCUACGGGAGGCAGCAGUGGGGAAUACUGGACAAUGGGCGAAAGCCUGAUCCAGCCAUGCCGCGUGUGUGAAGAAGGUCUUCGGAUUGUAAAGCACUUUAAGUUGGGAGGAAGGGCAGUAAGUUAAUACCUUGCUGUUUUGACGUUACCAACAGAAUAAGCACCGGCUAACUUCGUG